rnacentral:rRNA from 1 species
UACGUAGGGCGCAAGCGUUAUCCGGAAUUAUUGGGCGUAAAGAGCUCGUAGGUGGUUUGUUACGUCUGCUGUGAAAUCCUAGGGCUUAACCCUGGGCUUGCAGUGGAUACGGGCAGACUAGAGGUAGGUAGGGGAGAAUGGAAUUCCUGGUGUAGCGGUGAAAUGCGCAGAUAUCAGGAGGAACACCAAUGGCGAAGGCAGCACUCUGGGACGUGACUGACGCUGAGACGCGAAAGCGUGGGGAGCAAACAGG